CCCCCCCCCUCCUUUGAGACUCUUUCUUGUCUGGGCCUUUUGGUAACACUAUGUACUCUGAAGUACCUGAAGUUCCUGCAGAGCAUUGGUGACAACUUCUUGACACAGGUGGUGGAGGAGCCAACAAGGAGAGGUGUGCUGCUGGACCUCGUACUAACAAACAAAGAAGGACUGGUGGAAGAUGUGAAGGCUGGGGGCAGCCUUGGCUGCAGUGACCAUGAGAUGGUGGAGUUCAGGAUCCUGCGAGGAGGCAGCAGGGCACCAAGUAGGAUCGCAACCCUAGACUUCAGGAGAGCAAACUUUGGCCUCUUCAGGGACCUACUUGGAGGAAUCCCAUGGGUGAGGGCCCUAGAAGGAAGGGGCAUUCAAGAGAGCUGGUUAAUAUUCAAACAUCACUUCCUCCAGGCUCAAGAGCGGUGCAUCCCUAUGAGUAGGAAGUCAAGCAAAGGAGGGAGGAGACCUGCAUGGAUGAGCAAGGAGCUCCUGGCAAAACUCAACCAGAAGAAGGAAGUCUACAGAAAGUGGAAAGGGGGACAGGCCACUUGGGAGGAAUAUAGGAACGUUGUCAGAGUAAGCAGGGAUGCGACGAGGAAGGCUAAGGCCCGUUUGGAAUUAAAUCUGGCUAGAGAUGUCAAGGACAACAAGAAGGGCUUCUUCAAAUACAUCAGUAGCAAGAGGAAGACUAGGGAAAAUGUGGGCCCUUUGCUGAAUGGGGUGGGUGCCCUGGUGACGAAGGAUGCAGAGAAGGCAGAGUUACUGAAUGCCGCCUUUGCUUCAGUCUUUACUGCUCAGGCCAGCCCUCAGGAACCCCAGACCCUGGAGGCAAGAGAGAAAGUCUGGAGAAAGGAAGACUUUCCCUUGGUGGAGGAGGAGUGGGUUAGAGAUCAUUUAAGCAAACCUGACACCCACAAAUCCAUGGGCCCUGAUGGGAUGCACCCUCGAGUGCUGAGGGAGCUGGCGGAUGUCAUUGCUAAGCCACUCUCCAUCAUCUUUGAAAGGUCAUGGAGAACAGGAGAGGUGCCUGAAGACUGGAAGAAAGCCAAUGUCACCCCAGUCUUCAAAAAGGGCAAGAAGGAGGACCCAGGGAACUACAGGCCAGUCAGCCUCACCUGCAUCCCUGGAAAGGUGAUGGAGCAGCUCAUGCUGGAGGCCAUCUCCAAGCAUGUGGAGGACAAGAAGGUGAUCAGGAGUAGUCAGCAUGGCUUCACCAAGGGGAAAUCAUGCCUAACCAAUCUGAUAGCCUUCUAUGAUGGAAUGCCUGUCUGGGUAGAUGAGGGGAGAGCAGUGGAUGUUGUCUACCUUGACUUCAGCCAGGCUUUUGACACUGUCUCCCAUAGCAUCCUCAUAGACAAGCUCAGGAAGUGUGGGCUAGAUGAGUGGACAGUGAGGAGGACUGAGAACUGGCUGAAUGGUAGAGCUCAGAGAGUUGUGAUCAGUGGUGCAGAGUCUAG
ensembl:lncRNA